ACUGGGCCUACAACGCUUAGGCGGUGGUUCCUUUGGCUAUGGGCCCAAGUCGGUUCCUCCGAGAUCAAAGACUCAGUCUGUCGCACGACUCUCGGCCUACAACACAUUGAUCGAAGUCAACUCUCAGGCUCUAUUGCUCUUGCACGACUCUCCUUUUCCCCUUCCUCUUCUCUAUUCCACGGAAAAACGUCUCCGAUUCAGCUUACCUCCGGCGUUGCUGCACACCGGCGCGACUUCGUCUCGGUCCUAGAGUUCUCUGCUGAUUACCCGCCGCUGAUGCGCCCUUGCAGCAAGACUCCCAUCCAGGUGUACCAGAAUUCGUUUUGGUCAUGUUGUUGGCCAUAUAUAUAUGAGGUCCUGUGCGAUGUUCUCACCAACAAUGCUAUGGAUAUGAACAAAUCUUCAAUUCUCGGCUUGACGCUGUAACAAACCAACGAGUAAUACAAUUAUUUCUUCUUUUUCCUGCUAUGAUAUCUGAAUUAAUGUGCACUGUCGAUAUAGAAAUAUGCAACCUCGAUUCAUGUUAUUUUCAGUAGUCCCUCAAUCCCUUUAGUCUUUCUACUUCACUAAUAUCUGAUGCUAAACCAUGGUUUAUUGUAUAUGGAAUUAUGGAUCAAGUAUCCCUUAUGCAUGUCUUCUUAGAGUUUUUCAUUAUGUAGGUUAUAGGCAAAUAAGUUGACCUGCUAAUGACUUGAGAUAAACAAUGUGCAGCUGAUACGAAAACAAGCCUGAUUUGUUCUCCACAAUUUUCAAGUUUCCUGAUUGUUUGUUCGAAGUAUGAUGUUUUUUGAGUUGAAUGAAUUUUUAAUAUUACACUGACAUUGGAUAAUUGAAUCAGAUUGUGACAGAAAUAAUCAUAUGUUUAGUGAAAGUUAAAUAGCUGCAUGUUUACUGCAUUCUGGUUGGAGGAAGCUUAGUGGUUAUUACUACACGGUUUACCCAUCAAAAUUUUGUUCAUGUACCCGUCAAGUUUGAUAGUUCCUACCCUCCCUACUCUCUUUGGUAUAGCAAAAUUCAGGUUAUAUGUUGCCUUCCUUUUGUAGUUUCAUGUCCAUAAAAAAGUAAAACUGCUCCUAAAUUCACAUGUCAUGUUCAAUUGCAAUUAGUUAGUAUGCUAGAAGCCUCAUAGUUCCCCUAUUUUUUGUACCAAUAUUCAGGUGGUGUGCUAAAUUUUGUGUGUCCACAUAAAGUUGGAACCACUCCUAAAUUUCCCAUAACUUAUCAUGUUUGAUCGUAGAUAUAAGGAGGUUAGGUACAGUCAGAUAUCAUGCUCAUGCUCUUAUGCCUUCUAUAUUUAAAGGUCCAGUUAUUACAGAUCUAUGCAUAUCAAUCUUAUAUUUAUAAUUUUGCAUAAUGAGCAUAGAAACUACAGAUCUGUGCAUACCAAUCUUCUGUUUGUAAUUUUGCAAAAUAGGUUAGAAGCUUCGUCAUAUGUUUUGGCUAUUAUAUUUAUUUUCUUAUCAAAUAUGGGAAUCCAAUUACUGAUUUUGCAUCUCCUGUCUUUAUAACUUUGCAAACAGCAUAAUAAUAUAUAAAGAACAACCACAAGAUCUACAGAAAUGGGAAGGUCAUAGGUAAGAGGAGCCAAGAGACGAUGACAUCAGUAACCAAAUUCAAGCAAUGGUGAAUAUGAUAAGCCAAUGUUUCUACAUGCAUAUUGAUGUCACUUUCACAAUUGUUAGCCCCUAAUUUUGCUAUUAUGCCAUGCAUUGUGUCACUUAGUUAUUUGUUCAGCGGGUUCUGCUAUUUUCAGCUUAUUGCAGAAAACUGAUGCAGUAUAUACAUACUUCGAAGAACUUGGCUCACCCUCGGUCUAAUGUGUUUUCAAACCUUGCCAUUUUAUUGCUUGAGCCAUAAGGAUUGACCUUUCUUACGUCAUUUUAAUAUUGGAGCCCCUAGAAGUUUGAUUCCGUAUCCAAUACUUCAUGGAGUAUUCAUUCUAAUAUUUGUAGAUAAAUUAUUGUUUUCUUUCAUCUAUGGAUCGAUCCCACGAAGAGAAAUAUAUGUGUACUCAUUAUCAUUUUUUCUGCCAUUUGAUCUUCUCAGGAUAUUUGCAAGAGAA